UACGGGGGGGGGCAAGCGUUGUUCGGAAUUACUGGGCGUAAAGGGCUCGUAGGCGGCCCACUAAGUCAGACGUGAAAUCCCUCGGCUUAACCGGGGAACUGCGUCUGAUACUGGAGGGCUUGAGUUCGGGAGAGGGAUGCGGAAUUCUCGGUGUAGCGGUGAAAUGCGUAGAUAUCGAGAGGAACACCUGCGGCGAAGGCGGGUUGCUGGGCUGAUACUGACGCUGAGGCGCGAAAGCCAGGGGAGCGAACGGG
rnacentral:rRNA from 1 species